rnacentral:lncRNA from 1 species
GCCCCUGCAGCCAUUCCUCUGCCGUCAACGCUUAGGAAGCAAACGCUGCAGCGCCACCUGCCCUGCUCCCAGAGCAGAACCCGGUCCUGCUGCCUCACCAGGGGACAGGGGCAUGGGAGGGGCCCUCCCCUGUUGGCCAAGGGUGGCCAUGUCCCCUCCCCCCGGUGUGGGCGAGGUGGGCCAGCCUCCUCUGAACUGGGGCCUGAGACACUUUGUCAGCAGCCCCAGGUCUUCCAGGAUGGAUGUGGGCGACUCCAGGUUGUGGCAGCACCUGUUGCCCACAGCUGCCGGGUCCUCUUCCCCAGGCUUCUUUGUUUCUUUACAGCAGGUGGGGGCCACCUGGGCCUGGACCUGGACCUCCCCAGGGCCCCCAGGCCCCGCCCCAGGCUCUUUCCCAAGUGUAGAUUUCCAACUUCCUUCACUGAUGGUCAUCUGCCCUCACCUCUGUCUCAGGGUCGGCACCUGCUGGCCUGGAAAUCAAUCCCAAAUACCCUUGUCCUGGGCCCUGAUUCUCUCCCCAGUCAUCCCUGCCCCGUGCCCGUCUCCGUGAGAGCUGGCCUGGCCCGUCACACCUUCCAGCCCUGUCACCAGUCAUCCCUGCCCCGUGCCCGUCUCUCCCUGAGACCUGGCCCGUCACAGCUUCCAGCCCUAUCACCAGCUUCCCACGGGCCCCUGCACCCUUCCUCCACUCUUCAGCCGCUGAGAUCCUGCCCCUGCACUAGGCCUCCCUCACACUCCACCUGGGCAGUGCUCCUUCUCGGCUCCCCCGCCCUUGCUCCUGCCCCACCGCCGCACCUGCCCCUUGGCAGACACAGCCUUUCCAGAGGCGGGGACGUGGCCAUGUGCACGCUCUGGGCUUUGCCUCGCUGCGUCUCAGCCUUGCAGUUCUUGCCCACCAGCGCCGGCGGCUCCCGCUGCGCUUCCCCAGAGGGCAGUGCCGUUGUUCCUAGCGACCAGCCACCAGCGCCAGCUCUGCAUCGGGCCUGCCCCGGCGUCCCCAGGGAGACACAGUCCCUGCAGCACAGCUCGGUGCCACCUCUGCAGCUCCAUCCCAGCCCCCGCCCUCCAAACGCCCAGGGCUCAAACCAGCCUCACUCCUGCACGACUUACUCUCACGACUAUUUAAGAGCUUCUCUUGUCCUGUUACUUUGCACAUGUUCAGUAUUUUUGCUUUGCUCUCUUAGAUGCUAA